UUUUAUUUUAAUAAUCCUUCUGCUUCAAAUGAUUUUUAAAUUGCUGUGGUAUUUUGACUAUACAAAGGUAUUGAAAUAAGAUUUUAAUUGAAUGCUAAGAGAAUGGAAGUCCAGAAAAAAACUUUUUUUAAAUUAAAAAUUGAAGUUUUUUUAAUUUGUGCAGAAACAAUUAUUUAUAUUAAAGACAAGAAGACCCUAUGAAUUUAUUAAAUUUUUAUUUAAUAUGUAAUUACUAUUAGAAAAAUUUUGGCUGGGGCGGCUAGAAAAUAUUAUGAACUUUUUAAAAAUAAAAUGAUCCAUUAUUAAUGAUUUUAUGUUAAAUACUCUAGGGAUAACAGCGUUAUAUUUUUUGAUAGAUCAUAUUGACAAAAAAGUUUGCGACCUCGAUGUUGGAUUAGGAUACUUUUUUAAUGAAGAUAUAAAAAAAGAAGUUGUCACGAUC
rnacentral:rRNA from 1 species